UCUAUUUUUUGUUGCCUAAUUAAAAAAAAGGAAAACUUCUCAUCCCACAUCGCCUAGGGAGAAGAGCUUAUUAGGGUCUAUAAUGAGUGUUCGAGCUUCAUCGUCGCCGGACUCGGUUGCGCGAGUCUAUGACCCAAGUGGGGGCAUUAAGGUGGGUUCGGAGGGAUGUUGAAAAGGGGAUACAGACUAUGGAGGUUCCCAGUCCAAUCCGUGGUGAAGGUCGAGUCGGGCUCUAAAGGUUCGCGGCGACGAUGCAUUAAUUGCACGGCGUUUGGCAGUCUCUGAAUGGUGUCGGUUAGGAUCCACGGUAUAAAUAAUUGGCGGGGCCCGAGUGCAAGAACCACCGUGCGCUGGUGGCGACCUCUUGAAGAGCGAGCAAGCCACUGGAAUAUCUAUUUUCCAUCUAGACCUGUAACAGGGAAAGGGUGGCGUAUGUGCUGACUUAUCAGAGCAGCAACCGGCACACUAUUGACUGUAUAAGGUGCGAACCCUUAAUCUUUCUCAUGGACUUGGCUGAUACUUCUGUGGUUACACUGUCCUCAUCAACCCCAACUCCCAUCUUUUGACUUUCAUUUUCUUUUCCUCCUUCGUUCACCAAGUGUUUGAUAAAAUGCUCCUUCCAAAUUUAGAGUCUUUUUUUUUUUUGAGAUUUUUUACUCUGCAUCACCAUUGUUGCACAGACAAGGUUUGCAUCUUUUGUUCAUACUUUGUUAGAAGAUGUCUAUCAAAAAGAUUAUUACAAAUGAUUAAAGAUAAAUUGUUAUGUGUAGGAAAACAAAUACACCAAAUUAUAAACAGCUUAACAGCAUGCCAUUUUCCUUUUCUCAUUGUCAUUGUCAUUGGACGAAAACAGCAACUUACUUUUGACUCAAGAAAAUCGACUUACACUCAUACUAUGAGCUAUAAAGUACAAAAGACUGUCUAUAAAAGCUGACAUGGCACAAUCAUGCUGCAAUAACUUCUCCUUGACAAAAUGUCUGUCAACUUUAACAUGCUAUGUUUAUUGCAAACUUAAUUUUUAAGCCAUAAUAGCUCAUAUAUACCAUGAGCCAUUGCCCGAAAUUCUGCUUCAGCACUAGAUGGUGCCACCAAGCUUUGCUUCUUGGUUUGCAUGCACCUUGUCCUGUUUCCAUGAGUAAGUUGUUGGGAUAUAAAAAAUCCCUUUCUUGAAUGAGCAACUUCAAUUCCAAGGAAAUACUUCAGUCUUCCUAAUGUCUUGAUCUCAAAUUCUUUGGCUAGACAUUGGCUUAAGACUUGUUGCUCUAUUUCAUCAUCUCCUUAUACGAUGAUAUCAUCCUCAUAAACCAGUAGGGUUGUUGUCUUUCCUAUUUUUGAGUGCUUCACGAACAAAGUGUGACCCCCUUGACCUUGUUUAUAUCCCAAAGCUAACAUAGUUCUGGAAAAUCUCCCAAACUAUGCUCGGGGAGAUUGUUUUAAACCGUAUAGUGCCUUUUUCAAUUUACACACCGUAUUGGGAUUUGUUCCUUUUCUAUAACCAGGAGGAACAUCCAUGUAGAUCUCCUCUUCAUGCAAAAAUGUGUUUUUUACAUCAAAUUGAUGCAACUCCCAACCAAGAUUAGCAACUAAGGAUAGAACUAUCCUAACUGUAUUCAUUUUCACAACUGGUGCGAAUAUCUCAGAAUAAUCAAUGCCAAAAGUCUGUCUGUAUCCCUUAGCUACCAAUCUCGCUUUAUACAUUUCAAUUGACCCAUUCGCCUUGUAUUUCACUGUAUAGACCCAUUUGCAUCCUACAAUUUUUUUUUCCCUUCAAGCAACUUAACCAACUCCCAAGUUUUAUUCUUUUCUAGUGCUUGCAUUUCCACAUUUAUGGCUUGCUUCCAUUUUUCAUUAGAUAAUGCCUCGGUCAAAUUAGUAGGAAUGGUAAUGGAGUUAGAUUGACAAGAAAUGCUUUGUAUGUAGGGGAGAACUUUUGGAAAAAUGUGUAGUGUGAUAAGGAGACAAUGAUCUUUUUGUGCAUUCUCUUGCUCCUUUUCUAAAGGCAAUGGGUAGAAUUUAAUCACUUGUUUGAGAUUCAGUUUCACUUUGUAAAGGUAUAGAAUCAAAGACUGUUACCUCAUUUGAAGGAUCAAAAGGACUAGUAUCAGACACUUGGACUUGCUCAGGUCUAGGAAUGUUCUUCUUUUGUCUCGAGUAUAAUAGUUUCUUUCAAAACCAUGUGGAUUUAGGCUCUGGAAUAAUUUCACGAAUUUGAACUAUUGAGAUUAUUUUUGGACUAGGGAUAGAAUCAUGGGUAGGAGUAUUUAGGGGGUUAGGUUGGGAUGAUGUAGGAAUAGAUGUGGAUUGAGACUAUGAUGUAAGUGUUUAUGUUUCUGGAUCAGAUUCAAGGAUAUGAUUAGAGUGAGAUUGGGAUAAUGCAGGCAAAGAUGUAGAUAAGUCAUGGAAAAGAUCUUCCAAGCUUCCAUUAUCUUCCUUUUAAUUUUCCCCCUGAAGAUAAGGUUAGGUGAAGUAGGGAUUGUUUUCACUAAAGGUUACAUCUUUUGAAACAAAGAAGCUUCUAGAUGGGGGGUGGUAGCAUUUGUACCCUUUCUGGGUUGAGGAAUAUAAAAAAAAACACACUUUAGAGCUCAAGGAUCAAGUUUGUUUCUGUCUUGUCUUGGCUAUGGAUGUGAACAAAUGAGAUACAUCCAAAGAUGUGCGGAACAAGAUUGUUAGAAGUGGAUACAUUCGGGGAGAAGGAAGAAAGUACAUCGAUCAGACUUUUGAAUCCAAGAACUCGGGUAGGAGGUCUAUUUAUAAGGUAAGUUGCUAUGAGCACAACUUCUCCCCAAAAAUAUUUUUGGAACGUUAUUUUGUAAUAAUAAUGCUCUGGUUUGAUCUAAUAAAUGCUCAUUUUUCCUGUCUGAACACUCCGUUCUGUUCAGACGUUUUAACACAUGAAGAUUAUUGAAUUAUUCCCUCCAUUUGAAAAUAAGAGGUGAGAGUUUGAUUAAAAUAAUCUCGAGCAUUAUCAGAUCUUAUCCUUUGAACUUUGACUCCAAAUUGGUAUUUUAUCAUUGAAAUGAAAUUAGGGAGAAUAAUGCUAACAUCUGAUUUAUGCUUUAACAGAAACACCCAAGUAACCUGUGUACAACCAUCAAUGAAUGUCACGAACCAUCGUGCACCCGACACAUUGGAAAUAUUAGAUGGACCCCAUAUAUCAGUGUGAAUAAGAUAAAAAGGAGAAUUACUUUUUUUUUUUUAAUUACCAAUAGAAAAAGGGAUACACUUCUGUUUAGCAAGCUCACAUACCUCACAAUGAAGGCUUUCAACAUUAAUUGUUUUAAACAAAGAAGGAAAAAGAACUUUAAUAAUCCUAAAUGAGGGAUGACCUAAACGACAAUGAUGAAGUAUGAUUUUUUCUUUAUUGGAGAUAGCAAAUACUAAUAUGAGUGAACGAGAAUCUGUUAUGAGUGAGUGAGAUGAUCUGGGUGUUUUUGGCAACUCAAGACGAUAUAGAUCAUCCUUUUCCUUAAUAAGUCACUUCCCACAAUAAAUACAAAACAAUUUACAUUUUCCCACAGUUAUAAUAUUUAAACAUCUUAUACUUUCUUUGCUUAUCGAUCAACUCAUCGAGUUCAGGGAGAGCAAGGAACAAGCAUGAAAGAAAACAAAGAGUCAAUUUUGAUAUGAGUUAAUAGGAUGGAUGCUCAAGAUGUUUUUCUUCUUUACUUUUUUGCCCUUAUCAUCUUCUCAAUCGCCUUCAUCUUAAAUCAUAAACAACAAACCAUAUUCAAUCAAAACCACUAAUUUAAAACAAAAUCAAGAUCGUUGGACCCUGUAUGAUAUAUUUUGUUGACUUACUCCUUCAUCUUAAAUCAUAAACACCAAUUCAUAGAACUACUUAAAACAAUGACCUGUCAGUCCUUACCCUAAAAACAAAAUAAAAUACUUGAUUAAAAAACCAAAUUUUAAAUAAGUUCAAAUGUAUGGUCAUUUUCAUACAACCUCUUUCUCGAUCAAACCUUUUUUUUCUUAAUUUUUUAAAACCUUUUAGCGGGAAAUACUCUGCAACAUGAAAUUGCAAUAAAUAUAAUAUGUGGGUGAUAAAAGUUGGAGGGCAAAAUAGUCAUUUACCUGCCAUAGUGCCAUUGGUAAAUCAUAUAGUACUCUAAAAAGAUUGAUAGAUCAUUCAUAUAUAUUGUUAGUUAAUCGUUGUUAUAGAAUCAUUGACAUCCGAUAAUGAAAACUAUCUAUUAAGUAAAACAAAAUUAUCUAUUAAAGUAUUAAGAUAUGAUCAGGUAACAAAAAAUGUAAUACAUGAUGGCAUUUCUUGUACAGAUCAGCAGAGAGAAUGAAAACUAGUAAAAUAAUUAAAAUUAUAACGCUAUAACUUAAAAUAUAAUGCUAUGAUUGAUAAAAGUUUCAAAAUGCAAAGCAAUUUCACUGCUUCAUUAGGUAAAAAAAUUAGAGUAUAAUGUCACAAUAAGAAAACACUUGGAAGUACAAUGCUAUGUAUAAUGGAGUAGAACUUUCAAAGCAAUAAGAAAAAGCUGAAAGUAUAAUGCUAUAAUUAGGUAGACAUCUAAGGGGGUGUUUGGCUAAUCAUUUUAAAACAACUUAUUAGGUUCCACACCACUAUAAGUUAAAAAAAUGUUUGGAUGAAAAUAACUUAUUCCGGUGGAGAACCUCUAAUAAGUCAUUUUUUCAUAAGUUACCCUACACUUAUUAACUUAUAAGCUAAUAAGCAAUAAGUUUUUUUUGCCAAACAUACUAAAGAAAUUAGCUAACUGUGCUAAAAGAGAUACUUCUCUUCAAGAACAACAUUGUACACUUGUUCUACCACUACCAUAACAAUAAAAUCAGUAACUAUGGUGUGGAAUGUAGAGCAAAACAAGAGGGUUUACAUUAAGAAUAUGUAUAUGAAUAUGAAAUCUAGAGUUGAUAAAAAAAAAACAACCAUGAAACAACAAAAAUGUACGUUGAUUUAGGCAAUUGUCUCUAAAUUUGAAAAUUUGAACAAACUAAUAUCAAAAUCCUAACCUUCAUGAGUGUUCUCCAAAAUAAGGACCAAAUAUGAAAAAAUCAGCUACACUCACGGACCAAAAAUAUAAUUACUCUAAAAAGAAUGAUAAAUCAUUCAUAUAUUAUUAUAGAACCAUUGAUAUUUGAUAAUGAAAAUUAUGCAUAUAACAUCUCAAUUUGAACUUCUGGAGCCUGUAGGGUUGAAGUGUAUACUUAGUUUCUUGUCUACAAGCUAUGCAUCUAUUAGAUGGACCUCUUCUUUGUAACCUUAUAUUCAAAAGACUGAUUUCAAUUAUAAAUUAAGCAAUAACAAUGUACUUUCUUACCUUGGCAUCAUAUAUGGUCAUUUAGCUUUUUUUUUUUAUUUUUUUUUUUUAUUUUUUAUUUUUUUAUAGAUUUCUAGAUGCUCUUGACUGCUUCAUUUAUCCUAUCAAAUAACCACAAAUUAGUAAUUGAAAUACAUAAAUUAAGAUCCGCUUACAAUCUUCAGAAAUUCAUAUAACAAUCAAUACAUGAUUUAACUUGAUAAACAAACCAACAAACAACAAUAUGUUAAACCUAACACAAUUAGUAAAAUGCAAAUCAAUGAAAGAGAAACAAGAAAAAUCAUUAUUAGGUGUUGGAUUCUUUCAUGAUCAUAUACCCACAAAAAGAGAUUUGACUAGAACAUCAUGUUAUUCAUAAAAAGGCUGACAGAAUCAAACUUGCAAUUUUGUCUUAAAUCUAAUUGCAAUUUUCUUCACCAUUGUAUUUGUAUCUUUCAAUAUUGGUUUAAAUGCAAGAAAUACUAAAGUAGUUUCAUUUUUCCUAUUAUAGAAUUGUGCUUGGAAAAAUCUACCCAAUUAUAGCAAUGUCAUAAAGAUACAAAGCAAUUUCCAUUGCUAUGAUUGAUUGGAUCGAUUUUUCAAAGUAUUAAUAAGAAAAAUUAAAAUUACAACGCUAUAAAUUCAUGGAAUUUUCAUAAUGCAAUGCAGCCCUUGUAAGAAAAAGUUGAAAUUACAAUGUUGUAACAUAAAGAAAUGGAAGUACAAUGCUAUAAUGAACAAACUAUAGAAAACUCGCCUCAGAUCAUCCUACUUUCAGUGAUUGCUUAUUAUAUAUACAAUCCUACUUUCAUUUCAUCUUAUUACAACAUUCUACUUUCAAAAUGUACCCAGUUUUAGCAAUGACAUACAAAUUAAUACAAAAACAUCAUUUCCUGGAGAUAAUACACAAGCAUGAGUUUUAGGAACAUAGGGGUAUUUCUGGAAAUACACAAACAGGGUCAUAGACUCAUAUCUUUUGUAAUCAGUGGAUAGAAGACAGUAAUUUGAUAAAGCAAGUUCAUAAUCUCGUAACAGAAAGGCAUAAUCACCCAACACCCUUAUUUGAGAUUCAAUGGAAAGCUAAAUAAGAACAUAAAAAGCAUCAAGUGUUUUAUAGUUUUAAGGGUAAAAACAUACAUGCUAAGACUUUGAUUCUCAGGGGAUCUUCUUUACCUUUUCUCCACCAUAACAUAAGCUCUUUAUUUGGUUUCUAAAACCUUUUCUUGUUGCAGAGUAAUGAAUGGAAUUUGUCAAACAAGUUGAAAUUAAGAAUAACAAUCAGUCUCGGAGUAAUGUAGGGAAGUGGUUCACAAAAUACUUUUGAAAUGAAUGGAAUUUGUCAAAUGAAUUGGUAUUUGUCAUGUGUAUGAUUGACAGGAAAUGGAAAGGAUUUUGAUUCUAUUCUUUUGUUGUUUUGUGUUUAUUUUGCAAAUCUAUCAAAAGAAUUGAAGUGAAAAUUACGUUAAAUGACUGAAACACCCUUUAGUGUUUAUCAGUAUCAUUAAGAAGAAGAAGCAGGGGUAAAUGAUGCAUGUUAAAAAGAUCCACAAACUUGUUGAUACUUAGGAUCCAUGUCAGUUGAAGAAACAACAAAAAGCUUUGUUUCUGUGCCGUGAUUAUGUUGCUUAAUAGUGUUUCUUUUCCCAUGAAUUCUGCAAGCGAAUUUGGUUUCUAAUGAAAUUGCCACUCUUCUAAUGAUAAGAACAUUGCUAUGGACCCUUUGAAUAUGGAGCAGAAUUUUGUACAUGAUGAUGUUCCCCAUUAACUUUACUUAAAACGAGCACAUACAAUGUUAUCAAUCUUUUGAGUGAAAGGACAGAAGAUGUCUAUCAAUGGAGUUAACGGAAGCAUUUUAUAUUUUUUUUCUUAUUGGAAAUCUUGUGCUUACUAAUCUUAAAAGUUCAUACUUUGUUAGAAUCUGAUAUUUUUAAUCCUUGUAGUUUCUCAAAGUUUGUUGCCGUUAAUUACACAUUGAUGUUUGACUUUGACUGCUACAAUAUAGAAUGUUGUUGCUUUUUCUAAAGUUGUCAAAGUUUGUUGUCAUUUAUGGAGGUUUGGUGUUUGGAUGCCUCCUGCUUCUAAUUCAUAUAGAUAUCUCAACAUUCAUUGGCUUCUGAAACAUAUUCAAGACUCAAACCUCAUACUGAAGUAAAGGAGAAAAUCACAAAAGAUGGUGGGCUGAAUUUUGACCUUCAAUGUCAAAUAUGUUGUGAAAUCCUUAAGAAAUACUACAAGAACUAAUCAAACAGGAAGGUGAGAGAUAUUAGAGACACAAUUCAAACAAGUGAAGAACCUCAAGUUUCUCUGAUAAAGAUUCAAUUUCAUAAACUAUCAUCUUAGCCAUCUCUUCAUCUAUGUUAACAUUUUUUUAACAAAACUGACAAAAACAAGGUAACCACUUGUCAAACAGAUUCAAGUACUCAUGGAAACGAUAAACAGUCCUUGAAUCCUUUGUAUGUUGCUACAACCUAGUAGUUCAAACUUCAAACUUGAAAGCAUGUGAAUCUUAUUGUUCAUGAUUAACAACAAUUGCAAUAAAUAGCAAACUACUUACAUUUAUUUGUUUACCACCAAUAAUGAUUAACAUAAACCAUCAAUAAUGAUUAACAUUCUCAACAAACAACUAUUUUUCUCUAGUCCUCUUGUUCCAAGUUCAUCGUAUGGAAUCUGCAAGAUCACUCCACCUACAUACACUAACAAAACUAACCCAUGAAUGUACAUAUGAACAUAACUUUCCAUGCAGAUCAAUCGUAAAAGCAAACAAGUUUUGUACCAUAAUUCAAGAUGUUAACAACUUUGAGAAGCAGUGAAGUAUGUAAAACUCAUGGAAGUGUUGUGUAGGCUAAAAAUCAAUGGACAAAUAGGUACUUUUAAAUUUUAAACUUUUCUAAAAGCGAAAUAUUGUAACUUUCAUGAAAAGUGUUGUAGUAUUUGAACAUCUUGUACUUUAUUUUUGCUUGUUGAUCAACUCAUCAAGUUCACAGAGAGCAAGGAACAAGCAUGAAAGAAAACAAAGAGUCAAUUUUGAUGAGUUGAUAGGAUGCUUGAUAUGUUGUAUUUCUUCUGACUUUUUUGUCCUUAUCAUCAUCUUUUUAGUUUUUUGUUCAUGUUUUUUUUUUUCAAUUUGUUGGCACAUUGGAUCUUAAUUUAGUUUUAGUUGUAGUUUAAUUUUGGGUUUUGGUUGAUUUGAGUGAGGUAUUUUUGGUUUAGAGGAUGAAGGAGAAAAAGACGAGGACAAGUUAGUCAUUUCACUUGGACUUCACGGACAUUUUGCAACACCAUCAGCAGUUCAGUACCACGGACAAACCUUACAACAAAACUAUACUUUUUUGACCACUUGUGCAACAAAUGAAAUAUCUAGAUGAAAACCAUAACUUUUGAAAUAUCAAAAGGACGAAAUACUAUUGUCUGUCCCCUGGGGUAUCCAAAAAAUAUCAUUUUCCAGGUAAAUACUCUGCAACAUGAAAUUGCAAUAAAUAUAAUAUGUGGGUCAGGGUGAUAGAAGUUGGAGGGCAAAAAAGACAUUUACAUGUCACUGGUUUUUGAUAGUCAUGUACUCUGAUGUUAACUAAGACAACAUACUGCCUCUCCUCUCUGUGUAUGUUGAAUCAUAUGAAUAAGAUCCCAUGAAAAAUGGCCAAACC